rnacentral:rRNA from 1 species
UACGAAGGGGGCUAGCGUUAUUCGGAUUCACUGGGCGUAAAGGGUGCGCAGGCGGUCGGGUGUGUCAGAUGUGAAAUCCCGAGGCUCAACCUCGGAACUGCGUCUGAAACUACUCGACUAGAGUACUGGAGAGGGUAACGGAAUUCACGGUGUAGCAGUGAAAUGCGUAGAUAUCGUGAGGAACACCAGAGGCGAAGGCGGUUACCUGGACAGUUACUGACGCUCAGGCACGAAAGCAUGGGGAGCAAAAGGG